CCUCCAACUGGAGAUUCACUGUUACAUCUGCAGAAACUGCCCUUCCUGACAGAGAUUCGAUUGUUAUCCAUUUUGCUUCCCUUCACUGCUGCCUUAUUCCAAGCCUUGGUUCCAUCUGUCGUACCUGGCUGCCGAGUCCACUCUACAACCUCAGG